CUCAGUGGGGCCAUUCCCUCUGCUGGGCCUCAGUGGGGCCAAUAUCUCUCAGCUGGGCCUCAGUGGGGCCAAUCCCUCCACUGGGCCACAGCCAGGUCAACAGUGGGGUCCUCAACGAGGCCUCAGCAGGGUAAGCCCUCAGCAGGGGCCUCAUCCAUCCCCUCACCCAGGCCCCCAGCUGGGCUUCAGUCAGACCCUCAGUGGGACCCUCAGCAGGACCAGGCGCUCCUCCAGGCACUCGUCCUGGGCCUCUGCCAGCCCCACAGCUGGGCCUCGGCCGGGCUGGGCUGGGCUGGAGCGACCCUCAGACCACAAACCUGUGGCUGCCCCAUGCCACCAUUGUCCCGGGCCGGAGCUGCUCUCUGUGUCUUCCCAACUUGGCCAUGUCAGUCCCUCUGCAAAGCCAGGCUGUGCCGGGCAUGGCUGCCAUCAGCCUGACCCCUGGGCACGCUGCUCCUCCCAGCAACAGGCAGACACAGGCUGGGCCUGCACACCCGCAGCACUCGGCAGCCAAACCCAUGCAGGCCCCAGGAUGGGCCGCCCACAUCCCAAAGCCCCUCGGGGCCCUGUGGGUUCCCAUGGAUGAAGGUCCCUGCAGCGUGGCUCCCUGCAGCCUCCCGUGUCCCAGCCCUGACUGGGGCACCCAGGCAUUGGCCCACGGGGUCUCAUUGCCACCCAGUGGGUCCCCAUGGUUCCCUGCUCAAGGCAUCCCGGUGCACACCGAUGAAGCCUGCACCGACACUGGGAGCUGCAGGAGCUGCCAGCAAGUCCAGCCGGCAGGUUCAGCCAUCCCACCAGGAGCAGUGCCUAUGACAUGGCUGGCACCCACCCUUGGACACUGCAGGGAGCACAGAGAGGCAAAGCGGAGAGCACUGGAUGUGCCACCUCCGGAGGACACUCCCCACGCACAGAGCUCUGCAGCCGUGUGAAAGCAGUGGGAGAGGCCCACGGGCAGUCCCUCGGGCUGAACGGCCCCAUCCCAGUCACCUUCGUGUGCCACAUGUGGACAGCAGCACAAGUCCUGUGUGCCACACACAGCCUGCAGCCCCGGGGAAUGCGGCCCAUGGGCACCCAUCCCUGUUGGGAGGCACAGAGAGGUGCUGGAGGAGAUUCCUAAGAGUUACAGCACUUCAGACUGAGCGCCAGGAGAGCCCCUCCACAAGUGGGAGCUCACUCACAAACAGAGCAAUGCAGGGCUCAUAGAGACGUGCAGCAGGAUGGGUGCUUCAGACUGAGCCACGCCGCUCCAGAGGGAACGGAGCUGCUGUGAAUUACCAGGAAAGGAGCAGAGAAUGGAACAGCGCCUCCUGAGGUGUCACAUCUUAUUGUCCCACAUCGUGAGAAAUCGGACAAAUACAGGAAUGAUGAAGCACGGGGAAGGACUGAGUGGGCUCCACAGGCUGGAAGAGGCAACCCAGAGGUGGAAGACGCAGUCUGGAAGAGGUGACCAAGGCGUGGAGGAUGCAGUGGUUGGCGGUGGGGACACGGCUGUGUGCUCAGCACAAGGACCAGGGCUAUGGCAGGAGCCAUUGGGUUGAAGGAAGUAUUUUCUGGGCAGUGGAGCUGAGGGACCCCCUGCUGCAGGAUGAAGGCCAGAAGUCUGUAUUGGCUCAAAAAGCCAUUGCAGUAAGCCACAGAGGGAAACUCGUCAAAGAUUCCUGCAGAAUUACAAGGCAGAGCUACGUGCCAGGAGCCACCAGAGCCACAGCUCGGGCUGCAGAGCAUAUACCAACCGAGUGCUGCUGUAUUCUGCUGCUGUGCUCUUAUGCUGCUCCUUGCACACGUGCUCUUGGCUGGCACUAGUGCUGGACGGGGCACACACGGACCCCCCCUGCUGAUGGCACCAGUCCGUGCCACAGGUUCUGGCGGGGCCAUGGGACCGGUAUGGUGCCGGCUGUCAGAAGAUGGUGGGCAGGAGGUCCAAAAGGAGCUGGUGCCAUUCCCUGCCCCAGCCCAUUCGGUGAGCCAGGAGGCUCCAGAUGGCUUCCCUGGGCUCCGACUGUGCUCCCAUAGGAAGCUGGAUUUCCAAAAAAGAAGCUGAAUGAAAACAGGACACUGUGUAAGGAGAGAUCUGCAUACAUUUGCAUAGUUAUGAGCUAGUUGCAUAACGGAAUGCUGCUGAACAGCAUCUGAACACUCUUUGGAGACACGGGGGCAACAGGGGAAGGAAAGGGCUGGGUGGACAGGAGGUGCUGCCCAGUUCCUUUGGGAGCAUCACACCACAGUGGAGCGCUGGGGAGCUUCUCUGUUUGAUGGGAGAAGAUUGGGUUUGGGAGCAGAAGCACCCAAUUGCUGUGCCCAGGGGUCACAGCCACAAGCAGGGAAGGGGCAGCGUACCCACAGCAUGGGCAGCUUUCCCUGCUCUGAUGGCAUUCCCUGCCAUGGGGGCCAUAGACCCCCUGGGUGUGCCCCCAGGUGUGGGAUUUAGAGCCCACCCACCCCGUUGCCUCCAGUAGGGCACACCAACCCGCCCCGACAAAGCCAACACGGGCAGCAUGCCUGCUCCCUGCCCCACGCACAUCUGCAAAAUGGGGUGGGCAUCCCCUGCCUCUGCUCCAGGGGUCGUUCCAGCCCCCCACCCCCACCCCCCAGCAGCCCCCAGGCUUUCAGCCAUUCGGUACCAAUGUCCUUUGUAUGCAGAGUCCAUCCAUCGCUUGGAGCAGAUCUCCUGCUGCUCUGCUGCUGGGUGCUGAUAAACCACCCCGAGCAAUCUUAUCGCCCGUUCCAUGCGCUAUCACUCCGUGCUGCUCCCACCUCUGCUCUGCAUUCCUUCAGCCGCUCUCCUCUGCUCCUUUCCUAUAUGAGUGUUUUUCAGCAGGGCUGCUCGAUGUCUGUGAGCUGUGCUCUGUUCGGCCUGGCGCUGCCUCUCCUGGACACACAUCCCAGCAGAGUUAACCCACCACGUCUCUGGGGCUGCAGUCUGCAUUCAUCCUGGGGCUGCUGGUUGCAUUUCCCAGCCCAGGCUCCUAACGCAUGGCACAAACACUCAUUCGGUGAGCGCAGGGCAUGACUUUGCAUUUUGCACCGUUCCAUUUCCUCCCGCCACUCUCAGUUCAAUGUCAUCCAUCGCUCCGAGAGCUGCUCCAGCCCUCACCUGUUGGCUGAGCCCGCUGGCACGCACCUGAUGUUGUGCCAAAGCCUUUGAUGAAGAUACGGCAUUGAUUUGACUUUCAGAGUCCAUAUUCCCCUUUCAGCACAAAGCAAUCUCCCGGCGGCAGGGAGGACCUUGGCUCUGCUUACCCUGCUGCAGCCACGAGGCUGAUACAGGAGACCAAAGUUAUCUUCUGCCUUUGCUGCUUACUGGCUCUGCCGCUGCGUGCAACUGCUCUGCUUUUGCUUUAGCAGCACAAAACCGGGGGUCAGCAGUGACAUUCCGGGGUGUCUCUGCUUUUGUCUCCUCCUCCAGAGGCGAACGCAGCAUCACCUUUAAGCUCAGCCUGUUGCUUUCUCCUGAUGAAAGAAGUCAGACAGGGAAAAGGAACGGAAGAUAUCGUUACGAUGAAAUCCCAGCUUCAUUUUCCACUUAACUGGUUCUACUUCUUUUUCUGCUCAAAAUUAAGUGUUUAAAAGCUGUUGGGACGGGGAACUCGCCAGCUCUCAUGUGCACUUAACUCCUUCCUGCAGUCACAGCAUGGGGCCACGUCCCCCACAUCCCCCUGGGCUGAAGCAUCCCAGGCACAGCAGGCGCCCGCCCUGCUCUCCCCGCGCACGCUGCAGGGUGGGGGUGCUCGGGCUGCACCUAUGGGUGCUGCUCCACUGCAUCCACCAGCAUUCCCCAGGGCCAGGAUGUCCAUACAGGGCAGGGGG
rnacentral:lncRNA from 1 species